UCCUGUGUUGCUUGCCUAUUGUGAGGGAAAUUGGCCGCGGAUGAGUUCUAAUUUUUGCCUCUCACCCAAUCGUGGUGUUAGGUUGACAUUGAAGUACUGCCCUUUCUCCUUGAAYGCUUCGCUCUUUUGCGUUGCAAUCAUGGCCCAUGGGUUGCUACUAGUUACCUCGGAUGCAGAACUUUUGAAGGGUGCACAGCAUGUUUGCUGUUGUUUACCCACAAGCGUUCAGCGGUUGAUGCGUAUGACAGCUGUGCCCGUCUUGGCCCCCGGUCUAAUUAGUUUGGAUGGGGCUCAUGCGGUGCCGGCGUCGCGAAGGAAUGCUACCUGGUUGAUCCUGCCAGUAGUCAUAUGCUUGUCUCAA
rnacentral:misc_RNA from 1 species